AUUGAACGCUGGCGGCAUGCCUUACACAUGCAAGUCGAACGGCAGCACGGGUGCUUGCACCUGGUGGCGAGUGGCGAACGGGUGAGUAAUACAUCGGAACAUGUCCUGUAGUGGGGGAUAGCCCGUCGAAAGCCGGAUUAAUACCGCAUACGAUCUACGGAUGAAAGCGGGUGACCUUCGGGCCUCGCGCUAUAGGGUUGGCCGAUGGCUGAUUAGCUAGUUGGUGGGGUAAAGGCCUACCAAGGCGACGAUCAGUAGCUGGUCUGAGAGGACGACCAGCCACACUGGGACUGAGACACGGCCCAGACUCCUACGGGAGGCAGCAGUGGGGAAUUUUGGACAAUGGGCGAAAGCCUGAUCCAGCAAUGCCGCGUGUGUGAAGAAGGCCUUCGGGUUGCAAAGCACUUUUGUCCGGAAAGAAAUCCUUGGCCCUAAUACGGUCGGGGGAUGACGGUACCGGAAGAAUAAGCACCGGCUAACUACGUG
rnacentral:rRNA from 1 species